UUUUUGGAAAUAAAUUAAAGUCUUAUCUGCCCACUGAUAAAUAUAUUAAAGGGCUGCAGUAUUUUGACUGUACAAAGGUAGCAUAAUCAUUAGUCUCUUAAUUGGUGACAUGUGUGAAAGAUUGGAAGAAAUAUAAACUGUCUCUAAUUAAUUUAUAAAAUUUAAUUUUUUAGUAAAAAAGCUAAAAUAAUUUUAAAAGACGAGAAGGCCCUAUAGAGUUUUAUAAUUUAUUUGAUUAUUAUUAAUAUGUAAAUUUUAAAAUUAAAAUUAAAUAAAUUAUUUUGUUGGGGUGACGGAAAAAUUAAAUUAACUUUUUUAAAUAAUUAACAUUAAUUUAUGAGUAAAUGAUCCAUUAAUAUUGAUUAAAAGAAAAAAUUACCUUAGGGAUAACAGCGUAAUUUUUUUUUUUAUUUCAAAUAGGAAAAAAAGUUUGCGACCUCGAUGUUGGAUUAAGAUAAAAUUUAAAUG
rnacentral:rRNA from 1 species